rnacentral:misc_RNA from 1 species
AGUUUAACUCCUCUCAUUCUUAUGAACUAAGCUAUGCAUUUCACAUCUCUAUAAAUAGCUCUCAUAUCGAUCAUCUCUUCACUUCACUCCCUAGCAUUCUUCCUCUCCUUAAAACCAUCUCUAUAUAUUCUUUCAAGCUUACACACAUCCUUCAUUUUUGCUUUCCAAAUGGCCAGUGUUGAGGUAUAUAUCUCAGCUCAACUACCAAUUCUCUUAUGUAUAUAUGUUAUUAAAUCAGUCUUUCCUUAGCAUUGAUCUUACUCACUGUUUGUAGUUAAAUGGUUCUCCUCUUCUUUUAGUUAUGCUGAUGGUCAAUUUCUUCUUCUGGAUGGAAGGAUCUAUCCAUGUGUGAUACAGAAGAUGAUUUUAUUUAUUUUAAACAGCUUUUUAUUUAUUCAUUUCACCCAGAUCGAGUCUCUAACUAGAGAUCUCAUCACAAUCCUGUUGUAGAUGAAUCACACAGUUCUUUCUGUCAUUUGUUGCUGAUAUAGAACUGAUGGCAACUAACAUAGUUUCAUGAUCUUUUCAAAAACCCACUAUUGAUUUUACUGAAUCUUUUUUCAAUAUGUCUCUGCAUGGUAUUAUAAGUUUAGGUAUUUGGAUCGUGUUCUUAUCUUGGACAAAUGGAUUGAAAGUUGAUGAUUCACGAAAAGAUUAAUCUAAUCUAGUUACUAGUAUUUGAUUAUUUACCGGGAAAAUGAUUCGAUGUGGGUUCUUGCAGGUUGAAUCAGCUGCAACAGCAUUGCCAAAGAAUGAGACACCUGAGGUGACCAAGGCUGAGGAGACGAAGACCGAAGAACCUGCAGCACCACCUGCCUCUGAGCAAGAAACCGCCGAUGCUACACCUGAAAAAGAGGAACCUACAGCUGCUCCCGCAGAACCGGAAGCUCCAGCUCCUGAAACCGAGAAGGCUGAAGAAGUAGAAAAGAUUGAGAAGACCGAGGAGCCUGCACCAGAAGCAGAUCAAACGACUCCAGAGGAAAAGCCAGCUGAGCCUGAGCCUGUUGCAGAGGAGGAGCCCAAACAUGAGACCAAAGAGACUGAAACAGAGGCCCCUGCAGCUCCUGCAGAGGGAGAGAAGCCAGCUGAAGAAGAGAAGCCAAUUACUGAAGCAGCAGAGACAGCCACCACAGAAGUUCCGGUGGAAAAAACAGAGGAAUAAAUAGGUCUAUUAUGCAUAUCAAAGAAAGGGGGGGAUCGAGUUCCUGUUAUUUAUUAUAUUUUCUUUAUUAAUUUAUGAUUAUGAUUAUUAAGGAUCGAUUUGGAUGGUUUUGGAGAAUAGAACCUAGAGUCAGUCUUUGAGCAAAAACUGGGAUCCAUCUAUGUCGAUCAGGGCACUUGCCAGAGAUGAGUUACUGUGAGGUCUACAUGGAUUAUGGUAUGUAGAUGGUUAGUGAUAUUUAUGGUGUGAUGUGAUGAUGUGAUUUGUUGUUUUGAUAAUAAUGAUUUCUCUUGCCAAUUAGUGUUUGUGCUUUCAAAUAAGUGUGUAUUAGGUUUAUAAUUUCGGUUUAUUAUUUUAUUAAAAUAAUAUAAAUUAUAAA